GGCUCGUUGGUCUAGGGGUAUGAUUCUCGCUUUGGGUGUGAGAGGUCCUGGGUUCAAAUCCCAGAUGAGCGCA